GACGAACGCUGGCGGCGUGCUUAACACAUGCAAGUCGAACGGAAAGGCCCUGCUUUUGUGGGGUGCUCGAGUGGCGAACGGGUGAGUAACACGUGAGUAACCUGCCCUUGACUUUGGGAUAACCUCAGGAAACUGGGGCUAAUACCGGAUAGGAGCUCCUGCUGCAUGGUGGGGGUUGGAAAGUUUCGGCGGUUGGGGAUGGUCUCGCGGCUUAUCAGCUUGUUGGUGGGGUAGUGGCUUACCAAGGCUUUGACGGGUAGCCGGCCUGAGAGGGUGACCGGCAACAUUGGGACUGAGAUACGGCCCAGACUCCUACGGGAGGCAGCAGUGGGGAAUAUUGCACAAUGGGCGGAAGCCUGAUGCAGCAACGCCGCGUGCGGGAUGACGGCCUUCGGGUUGUAAACCGCUUUCGCCUGUGACGAAGCGUGAGUGACGGUAAUGGGUAAAGAAGCACCGGCUAACUACGUG
rnacentral:rRNA from 1 species